rnacentral:tRNA from 1 species
GGGGUUGUGGCUCAGCGGUAGAGCGCUUGCCCAGCACGUGCAAAAGGCCCUGGGUUCAAUCCUCAGCACCA